rnacentral:rRNA from 1 species
CGAGAUCGAGAGAUGGAGCAAAUCCCAAAAAUAACGUCCCAGUUCGGACUGUAGUCUGCAACCCGACUACACGAAGCUGGAAUCGCUAGUAAUCGCGGAUCAGAAUGCCGCGGUGAAUACGUUCCCGGGUCUUGUACACACCGCCCGUCACACCAUGGGAGUCAGUAACGCCCGAAGUCAGUGACCUAACCGAAAGGGAGGAGCUGCCGAAGGCGGGACGGAUGACUGGGGUGAAGUCGUAACAAGGUAGC